CUGGCCGGGAAACUGUGGCCCCCCGCGACGGGCCUUGCCGGUACCUCUGCCGGAGAAGGCUAGAUCGUGGUGUUGGAAAGUACAUCUGUGUUAGUUAUCUCAGAUUUGCAAUGGUUCGUAGUGGAAAAAGUGGUGGGCUCCACCUGAAGCAGAUUGCAUACUACAAACGAACAGGGGAAUAUCAUCCCACAACAUUAUCAAGUGAAAGAAGUGGAAUCAGGAAAGCUGCCAAAAAGUUUGUUAUCAAGGAAAACAAGUUGUUCUAUGUUGGAAAAGACAGAAAACAAAUGCGCCUGGUAAUUGUUUCAGAUGAAGAGAAGAAAAAGGUCCUCAAGAAAUGCCACAAAAAUGCUGCUGGCACUCAUCAUGGUAUAUCAAGGACACUGACUUUAGUGGAGUCUAAUUACUACUGGACCUCUGUAACAAAUGAUGUCAAGCAGUGGGUGUAUGCUUGCCAGCAGUGCCAGGCAGCAAAGAACAUAGCCACCAGAGUGCCCAAAAUACACCACAUCAAAGCAGAGGACCCAUGGGCUGCAGUCACUAUAGGCCUAACGGGACCUUUCAAUGUUACCAACAGAAGUCACAAAUACAUCAUCAUUAUGACAGAUUUGUUUACAAGAUGGACUGUUAUCUUACCACUGCAUGACACUUCAGCAGCUGAAAUUGCCAAGGCCAUCAUAAAUGUGUUUUUCUUAUAUGGGCCACCUCAAAAGAUGCCUAUUGAUCAAGGGAAGGAGCUUGUUUAUCAGAUAAAUGAAGAACUGUUUGCACUGUUUGGAGUGGAACAAAUUGUAUUGUCUUAUCCUCAGACAGAUGAUGUAAAUGAAAGAAUGUCCAAGACAAUCAAAAGUUUCCUUAACAAGUAUUGCAAUGACCAUCCAAAUGAUUGGGAUGAGCAUUUGUCUGCUAUAGCCUAUGCUUUCAAUUUGACAAAUUUGGAGCCAGAUAAAAACACCCCAUAUUUCCAAAUGUUCAACCGUAACCCACAUGUUGUUGAGCCCAUGAGUAUAUUUGUGGAAGGAGGAUACAGCAGUUUUGCCAAAAUAUUUGAAGCAACUAAAAAACUCAGUCAAGCACUGGAAGAAGAGAAAACCUCAGAUUUCCAGGCAGACGAAAAAACUUCAGAUGAACAAAAAACCAGAGCCAAAAUCACAGUCAAAAGGAAGACAAAACAAUUAAAUACCCUUCAGCUUAAAGUUGGACAUGAAGUCCUCAGGCAAAGAAAAAACUGGUGGAAAGAUGGUCGUUUCCAGUCAGAAUGGAUUGGUCCUUGUAUCAUAGAUUAUAUCACAGAAAAUGGCUGUGCAAUACUGAGAGAUUCCACAGGAUCCAGGCUGAAAAGACCCAUCAAGAUGUCUCACCUCAAGCCUUAUAUAAGAGGGUCCAGUGAAAAAGGCAACCAUUACAUUCUACAAGGUGCAGUAGUUUCUGACCAUGAUUAUAUUGGCUUAUCUGAAAGAUCUGAUAAUUCAAACCAACCAGAUUCUGUUGCUGAAAAAGAAAUAAAUGACUACAGAAGAGAUGUCAUGUCUGCUGUGCAGAUUCUACCUGCAGCCAGCAAAGACCAAGUGUCAGCAGAUGAGUCUGAGGUGAGAGAAGAUCAUUGCAUCAGAUCAAACACUGCAAAGCCAGAGCAAUGGCUUUCACCUUGUUGGACCCUUCAGACAAAGACAGAGGAUAUUUAAGCAUACUCUUCUAUCACAUUUCAUUGCCAAGCAGCUUAGAAAUACUGUUACAAACUUAAAAAAAAAAAAAAAAAAAAAAAGUAAUAGCUCCAACUUAUUUAGCCCAAUCUGUUUUACUCUUUUGUGGGUCUAAAAGUGCUUCAGGUAUCUAAUUUGUCUGGAUGUUAAGAAAAAGCACAUAUUCUGAUCAUGCAAUUAAAUUUCAGAUUUUGUUGGUAGAAUGUCAAUGUGGCUGUGCCUUACUCUUAUCCUCCCAGGACAAUGCAUCAUUUCACUGUAAUGACCAUUUAACCCUUGGAUGACUCAUUCCUAAUGUGUCUGUUCAAAGUGAGAUGAAUUAAAUCUAAGCAAGUUGGUGUAAAUUUUCCCUCCACUACAGAGAAGCUCAUGUCUUCCUUUUCCUGUUCUAUAACAGUUUUCUAUUCUUUCUGGGAAGCUGCAGCCUCUGACUUUUACAAUUUUUAAUUUCUAGUCUAAUCCAUUUAAGAUCUCACAAAACAAUAUAACUGCCAAAAUCAAAUGCAUGUGGUGUUCUAUGCAUGAAACAAUGAGGGCUGCAGCUGUUCCCUGCUCAUCAAAAGUCUGCUAGUGUAGAUGGUUUUAAUAUUUCAGACACAUGAAAAAAUCUCAAGAGCAUUUAAUAUUCAUUUGUGCUUUUUCCAUAAACACAUUCUCCAUUUCAGUUACCUCUUCACUGAGCCUGUGCACGUUGUGAGAUUUUCCAUGGACAGUGGGCUAUGAAAGAUUGAUAGAAAGAUGAAGAAAACUAGCAGACAACUGAAUUGAACAAUUCUGCGACUUCUGGAUGGUGCUGUGGAAGAUUUGCUUAUCUUGCUCUCUGAAUUUGUGUGUUCCUUCUCAUUUCUGCUCCUGAAUGUCAUGUGACUUAUAACACAGGUGGAGGAAAGUAGUAUUUAUUAGGAGUUUUCAGUUAAUUUUAGGCAAUUAGACCUAGUCAUCAAGGCGGAUUAAGUGCCUGCCUCCUACAGAAAUUGACAUGCACAGUGCAGUAUGUCUUUGAUAUCAUGAAAUGCAUCUGUGGGAUGCACAGCACCGUGACAGAAUCCUAUCUUUAACUUCAAAUGAAAAAUAAUUAAUACCCAAACUAUGUUGUGUCUUCUGAAAAUGCAGUCCUACAGAUGCAGUUUCUCUCCACCAAGACUUCAGAAAGAGUCUUUCUGAAUACACUGUGGGUGUGCACACAUGGAAUAAAUAUUUAUUUUUAUAUGUCAUGCUUUUGAGGAAAAUAUUAGUGUCAGGGAUAAAAAUGGAGAGUAAGGCAUUGUUUGUAAGCCUCAUUUCUGCUUUGGUAGCUGCAAAAGAGAACCAGCCUCUCUUAUUUUUUUCUUACUCCAAGUGCUCAGUUCCUGAAUUGUGCACAGUACAGCAGAACUGUUUUCUGGAGUGUGGAAUUGUUAGAGCUACAUUGAAGAGAAAGCAGAUGCUGCAGUGAGAGAAUAAUGAGGAAAACACAGAAACAUUUAACUACUCUGUACAUUUAUUAUAUUGCAGAUUGUUCAGGCUUCCUGGUAUUUUGAUCUACUGUAUUAACGAGCAGGUAUUAGUGACUUAUCAGUGCACUGAAAGGUGGCCUUCUUUGCAUGGGGCUCAUUGAAAUAAAAUACAGGGUUUUCAAACUAUUGACAUGAAGAACAUCACUGGAAACUGGAAAAAACCCCACUGUUUUGCCAAAACUGACACAAAGAAGCAAGAUUUAGCAGUGUCUUUAGGAAACGGGUACUAUUCUCUUCUGCACCUAAUGGAAGACUUGCUCGUCUUCUGUUUAUGUCUUGGUAACCAAACUAUGUAGAAAUUUUUAAUGAAAAGCACUACACAAAAAGCUUUAAUUUGAAGAGGAAGGCUUUUCCAGCUAGCAGUAACCAGAUAGUAAACUGAAUUUUAAAACAUUUGAUUUUGGUGCAGUUAAUCCUGAGAGAUGCAUUCCCUGGUCAGUUCUCCUUUCGACUUGUGCAUAGAUGAAGGAAUCUGCAGCAACCUUGCUGCACUGGUAGCAGAAGCAGGUGUGCAAAAAAACAAUAACUAUCAUAGGAAAUAGAGCAUGUCUCCUCUUCCAAGCAGUGCUGCCCUGCUACAGAUUGCUAGUACAGUGACAAGCAGAUCACUGGGAUACAACUUUCUGUAUUUCUCUAUUUCCAUGUACAACUCAUUACUCACAUGGGUGAGUUCUUUUUUAGGUGCUUGAGAAGCAUCUCAAAACUCAUCAGCAGAGCUGGAGCAUUCAGAGCUGCAGCUGGUGGCAAGAAUUGGAGCCUUGAAUAUGUAAAGUGCUAUCUGAAUUGCUUCUGAGUCUUUACCUAGUCAGAAACUUCUUCCAUCGCUCCCGUAGAUUAAAAGACCAAGAAGAGGGAAAGCAGAGCGCAUAGUUACAGUGUCAUACCGGAAAAUAAUUUUUUGGAGCCUUAUCUUUGUGUGUUUGUCUCGCUCUGGAGACGUUCAGGAUUUGUGCUGGAGCGUCGGUCGGGCGGUGGCAGCCUGGAGCCGCGGCAGCCGCCGCCUGCGGGAACGCGGGGCUCGCAGCAGCUGCUGCCCGCUGAACUUCCGAGGCUUCCUCUCGAAAUUACCUUCGCAGCACCAUUUUCGGGAAUUUUCACACAGAACUGUCGAUAAUUACGGGAGCAUUACAUUUCCAAGAGAACAUGACCUGCAUUUUGUGAAGGCUGCGUGACUGACCUGUUACGUGAUCCAGAGUAUAAAACAACUUGCGUGUUGGUUUUAUACCACAGCUGCCAACUAUGGUAAACUUUCAGUACAGCUUUACACCUUCCCAAGAAGUGCUCAUCUUUCACUUGGUUGCGGUGAGCAGGAUCUGACAGGGAAUAAAGGCAUGCCUCCACUUCCUCGUGUGUGGCAGUGUGUGUGACCUGAGAGCCGGUCUGAGGAAACAUGGCAGAACUGUGGGACUCAGUCCCUUGUUUCUGCAAGUAAUUAUCUCUUGAGCAGUCAUUUUAGGACGUGUCAGGGCUGAAGGAAGAAGGAACAGAGGCCAGAGGGUAUUCAGAGCACUGAGAAUUGCAGUGGCCAGGGCAGCGUUCUGCCCUGAAACCCUAAAUAGUAAGUAGCACAAACUUCAGCUUAUUACGGCACUUGCCUAAUCUCAAUUCUGAAAAAAAUCUCCGAUCCUAAUUAAAAACAUUAGCAUCUUAUGUCUCAGAAGAAUAAAUGUAGUCUGUAAUUAAUAAUUCCGCUCGUUUGCUGAGCUGCUACCACUGACUAUUUUCUAGGUGAAAAAAAUUACUCCACUACAUCUUUAAACCAGUACUUUGGCACAGUGCCCUAGAAGAAUACUGCCCAUACAGCAUCUGUAUAUUUUCUAAAAGCUGUGCAGUGAAAUCAGACAGAACUUCACUCACAUGAUGUCAUGCUUCACAUGCAACUCAUUAAUUUAAUAAGAAACAUGAGUGGAAUGGAGAUAAAGAAAGAAACAGUGUAAAGUGCAUUCAUGACCUGUAGUAUUUAGAAAAAAUCUAGUGCAGCUUCCAGGUUGACUACCAUGCACUAUCUUUCCAAAGCAACACCAGCUGAAUGUUCUUUUAGGUUUUUUGGCCACCACAUCUAGAAAUAGCAAGAAGUUUGCAUGUUUUGCUUGGAUAAGUAGCUAUCACUGUAGAUUUUAAAUCCUCCUCUACAUUGUCAGCUCUCCCCUUUUCUUCUGCCAGUAAGGCUUAGCUAUACAGAUGUAAUACAUAGCAUACAUAAAUCUGUGCUAAAAUUAUAAUCUUGUCUGAUAAUGCUCCUAGCAUAUUUCCAGGAAACCUUCUCUGACAAGAUUAUAGUGAUAUGCAGCAAGGCCAACAUGAAUAUUUGUCCACAAGCAGUGUAUUCCAAAGGACCCCUGAAGAGCCUGAAAACAUACAAAAAGCACCUUGGGACAGUUGCAGUUUGUGAAGCAUGGUGGGGAAGUGCUGCAGAUAGCCUUCUCCCUGUCUCACCUGGUGCUGUUCGCCUGGCACAGCACCAAACUGAUUUUUGCUUAUGGUUUCCUUUUUAUGAUUGUAAUUUGAUUAUAGAAUAAAUUUCUUCUUUUAUUAAUCAAAUUGGCUACUAAUUUGUAAUACAGAGAAAUCUAAUUUUUCCCCAUUACUGGAGAAAAGCCUAAAGAGCAGACACAGUGUAAAUUUUACUAAAAAUUUUGAUAAUUCACAUAAAGAAUAAAAAUAUUUUAUUGUGUAAGUAUUUAAAAACGCCAACACAUAAAGGCAAAUCAGGGUGCUAAAACUGUAGGGUUCAGUAGCAUCUGUUUUACAUAGAAACUACAGUGGCUUAAUUUCAGCUCUUAAUUUUAAUUGACUUGAAUAUUCGGUUCUGGUUUGGGGCUUUUUUUACUGGUACAGUACAUGAAUCCACACAAACUGUGAACUAUAUAACAACAUAGUCUUUAAAAUUUUAAAGUAUGCCCUAAUGUGCAAUUAAGUAAUUAAAUAAUAAAGUUGCUUUUGAAUUGCUCAGUAGUGAUGUUCCCCACAACUUUUACUGCUAAUACAUAUCAUGUCUUUCAAGCAAGUUCCCACAUGUGUAUUUGAAUGGCAAGCUAAAAAUUACCAAGCCCCUUCUCUGUAGCAUGGCACAUGCUUAAUCCUAAUGCACUGUAGCAUGAUAGCCACUACUGACCUAAAGACUCCGAUAAAACUUAAAUAAGUCUGGUUUUGGCAAGAAAGAAGCUUUUGCAAUUUACCACAAUGAUCUAUAAAUCCUCAUUUACUCUACAGUGUACUGCUUGAUUAGAAAACUACUCAAUCAAGAUGCUUCUGAAGGAAUCCAUUUGCCCCUAAUGAUACUUGGUGGCAAGGAUAGCUGCUUAAUUGGGAUUUUAAUUUCAGUUAACUGGGAUAUGUUCAGGUGAUGUGGGUGGCAGUGUGUGUGUCACACAUCAGUGCAUCCUCCUCAUGGCACCUUGCAGUUGCCCCAGUCUGCCUGCACUUUACGCAGGUUCACAAAAAGGUGCCAAAAAUUACUUGAGAUCACAGCCACCUUCCCUUAACUCUGUAAGACUCCCCAUGCAUCAGACUGUCUAAAAUAGGGAGAUGCUUAAUACAGUACAGGAAGGUGUUUUGCUACUUGGUCAGCUUAAUUUAAUGAAAAUACUCAGCCCCUACAAUAGCAAAGAUUAUUCUUUCUUUGAAAGACUUAAGAAAAGAUUAAUCAACAACACAUGGACCAUGUCUUUUAAAUCUUAAAAUGUGCAAUUACAUAUUGUUCAUUAAAGCAGAGUCUUAUCUGCAACAACUGCUGAAAACUGAUUUAAACAUGCUCUCCAAAGUUUAGAUCGAAUGACCAGAAUUCGACAUUUAAUACAAUAAAUAGUAUUAGCACAUAGAACCUGUUAGGAUGGAGAAUUGUCUGCUGGCUUAUUAAAAUGAGAACUGUGAUUCAUAAAGCUUAUAUCUUCCUUUUUACAUUAAUUUUCCUAUUGAAGUAUGAAGUCUCUAGUACAUUGUUUUCAUAAAAUGCAGCUUUAAUAAGAGAUAAAGAACAUUCAGUGCCUUCAGGUAGCUUCAUAAGUUCCAGUUUUGCCAUUGUACCUGUACAAAAUUAGAGCAUGAAACUGAGGUGCUGAAAUUUGAUUGCUGCUGGAAAGUAGUUGGUUGCCUCUCCAUGCAGUUAUUAAAAAUUACAGAAUAGCUUGGGUUGAAAGCGACCAUAAAGAUCACCUAAUCCAACCCCUCAGCCAUGGGCAUGGACACUUUCCACUGGACCAGGCUGCUCAGAGCUCCAUCCAACCUGGCCUUGAACGCUUCCAGGGAUGAGGCAUCUACAGCUUCUUUAGGCAACCUGUGUCAGUGCCUCACUAUGCUCAGAAUAAACAAUUUCUCUCUAAUAUCCAACCUAAAUAUCUAACUGAAAGAGGGAUAUCUAAAUAUCCCUCUUUCAGUUUAAAACCACUGCCCCCUUGUCGCAUCACUACAAUCCUUGGUAAAAAGUUUUUGUCUUUCUUAUAAAUCCACUUUAAGUACUCAAAGGCCGAAACGAGAUCUUUGGGGAGCGUUCUCUUGUCCAGACUGAAAAACCCCCAACUUCAAGAGAGGUACUUCAGCCCUCUGAUCCUCCUUCUGGCCUCUCUGGACCCACCCAAGAGGUCCACAUCCUUCUUAUGUUGGGGACCCCAAGACUGGAUGCAGCACUGCAAGUGGGGUCUCACCAAUCUGGUCCUCCAUCCUGCUUUUCUGUAGGCAGCCCAGGAUUAUUGUAGAGACCAAUGUCUGAAUUCCACAGAGCUCAGAUUACAAUUAAAGCUCAAUUAAUCUAUUUUAGCUUGUACUUGCAAUUAAACUGUUUGGCUGAUUCCCUCUCAUCAAAGCAUUAUCUAGAAUUGGAGACACAGCUCAAAUAAAGGAAAGGACAAAGAGGGAAGCUGCACAUUACUUCCACUGAGCUCUGCUAAUGGAGGCCAAGAACAUUAUGUCACUUGGACAUAACAUGAGCUAACCAAAUGUUAGAAAAAUAUACCCUUAUUGACUACUUUUAAGAAAACUCUGCAAUCUUUUAGAACUGAUGGCAUAUACAUCAUCUAUGAAAGCAGUGUCACCACAGCUUUCUUAACUGCUGUCACUGGGAACUUCCUGUAAACGAGUGACUUAGCAUUUUUGCAGACAGCUUCAGAGGAUUCUUCUCAACUAACUGAUUUCUUUUUGUUCAUAUACACAAGGAUCAAGGCCACAGCCAAAAAUAAUAUUUGUAUUCGAAAGUGAGAAAGAAACACCUUGUUUUCCUUAUAACAUUAGGAAAACAAAAAUUUGCAAGAGAGGAAGCAACUCAAGAGUAUGCAGAAAAUACAUUUCACAUGAAACUGCCUGUACUCCAGAAUUUCAGAUGACUCUCCUGGAGAUUUUGCUAUAUGUGAGAAACCAGCUUAUAAUGCAUUUGAAGUCUGGGGUUUUGGUUUUGGUGUUUGUUUUUUUUUCCCCCUAGAAAAAGGGGAUUUAUAAAAUCUUGCUGGGGGAAGAAAUCUUACCUUUUUCUCCACUAUCAUUACCCUUAUUUCCCCAUAAACCUUGCAAAAUCCCCACAAGGAGCUUCAAGCCUAUUUUGCAGCCUAAAUGCCAGCAGUAGCCUAUUACAUACAACACCUGCAAUGACGAUAAUGAAAACUGUUUCAUAAAACCCUGUGGCAAUUACAGCUGUGUACACUCUGCUAUAAUAGCAGCUUUAAAAGGACAUUAAUUAUGCUCUGAUCCUCAAACUGGACUGAUUAGUCAUAAUGUUACACAAUGAUUCACAGUACAGAUGACUCAUACAGAGAGGGUAAUUAUCCAGCAGGACUUCCGUAAGUCUGCUGCUAAAUAUGAGAGCUCAUUACAAGACUGAGGGUUUGUGUUGAAUGAAUGAAAAAAGAAGUGUGGAGAGAAAAAAAGAAAAUAUGUACUUCUAAUCAGCUAGUAUUAAAUGCCUACCCUGACUAAUUUGCAUAUUUAGUUUGAGACACAGGUUUCCUCUUAGCUGUGACCAUGUGUUUUAUUAAGGAAAUACCUUGCAGUUUUAUAAUACAAGUAAAAUCCCUCUUUAAAUGUUUAAGAUUGAUUUUGUACAUGUAUGCAGAUUAUUAGUCUUAAAAAAACACCAAAACAACAAACAACCUUGUGACAUAGCAAAAUAUUUUUCCAGCUUCCAUACAAAAUAGCAUUUUUUUCUCUGCUGGGAGAACACAUUAAAAAUUUUACUGUGUUAAGUGCCCCCUGCAACUUCUACAAAAGUUAUAUACAAAAAAAAUGAAAGCACAAAUUCCAAAGUACACUCUGACAGCCAAUGCUCUGCGAAUACUUUAUUACACAAAUUACAUUCAGCUUCUGAAAAUAGUGUUCUAACAGUGAUACCAUCUAAAAAUAAGACAUUCCAGAAACACAUCAAGUUAGGAAGAAGAAAAAAAUUAAAUAGAGACUUUUUUCUUUCCUUCAAUGCAAUAUCAUGUUAGUGAUUUAAAAAAAUAGAAGAAGACUUAGCAGCUUCAUUUUCUUGUGGCACUGUAUAUUCUCUGUACUGAUCAGGUUAAGGACAUUGAAGAGGAAAGG